rnacentral:lncRNA from 1 species
UAGCUAUUUUUAAUGUAUUAAAAAAUGAAGACAUUCAAAAAUCAUUCACCAAAAAAAUUUCAAAAAGUAGAUUAGCCGUAGAAAUUAUUAAAAUGUUUUCAAGUAACUGUCAAAACAUAGUUUUAUCUUUGACUUUGUUAAAUUAUAGUGGUUAUGCUGAAAAAAUUUUUAAACUUCCUCCUUCAUAUUUUUUAAAAAAUGAAGAACAAUAUAAACAAAUAAAGAAAAAUGACAAACUCAUAAAAACUGAUUUUAAUAAUAAUAAUAAUAAUAAUCAUGUAAAAAAAAAAUUGAACGCAUCAGAAAAUGAUAGUUGUAUAAUAAAUCAGGCUGAUAAUAUGACAGAAUUAGUAAAAAACAAAGAUGAAUUUAAAUGUGAUGAUUUAAAUGUUAAGGUAGGAAAAUGCCAAACGAAUUGUGAUAGUACUACACUAGGAGUAAGUAAUUCUUCUAAUUUGUUGUUACAUACGUCAACCAAUAAGAGCAUUACGUGUUUGAUACAAUCAUUUGAAAAUAUGCAACAAACGCGAACACCACAGACAGAAGCGAUAGAAAAGGAAAAAACAAAUGACCAACCAAAUGGCCAACCAAAUGGCCAACUAAAUGACCAACCAAAUGACCAACCAAAUGACCAACCAAAUGACCAACCAAAUGGCCAACCAAAUGACCAACCAAAUGACCAACCAAAUGACUGGCUUUUUCAAGGCCUAAAUUAUGUAAAAUUUUUUAAAGACGCCGAAAAAAAUAAAUUAUUAAAAAAUGUGUUUUGUGAUUUAAAAUAUGAAACACAGUUACAUAAUAUACAUUUAUGUUUAUUUUUAUUACCUUUAAAAAAUUAUUUUAUCAAUUUAAAAAACGGAUUGAAAACAGAACAUGUUGUUGAAUAUGUAAUUCGUGAAUCGUUAAAGUUUCCGUUAAAGUAUUCAAAAUUCUGUGUUUCUAUCUAUGAAGGUUUUCACCCUUUAUACGAGUUGUAUAAAAAUGAAACCGUUCUUUCUGUUUUACAAAGCAUAAAUGACGAGGAAGGAAAUGGUCAUAUAGGCGAAACUUAUGAGGUUAAAAAUAUUGGUAUUAGUGAAAAGGCUGAUAUUGAUAUGAGCGAAAAGAAUAACAGCAAAACCGAUGAUUCAGCGUAUAUAACAGGUGAUAUAGUUUUAUUUUUAAAAAAAGUUGGGGGAAAUUGGAAUUUAUUAUUAUUAGUUUUUUAUAUAUUUCAAAAAUAUAAUGAAAUAAAUAAUAACUAUAUAACAUGGAUUAAAAAUGAUAUAUAUUUAUCAGACUUUGUUAAAAAAUUAUAUCAAUAUAUUUUAAAAAAAAAAUUACAAGAUGGUUAUAAAAUCAAGCCCUUUUUAAAAUGGCCAGACAUAAAACAUAAUUUUCCUGAUAUCCCUUUGACUCGGAUAAGUGAAAUUUACGAGCAAAUAGUUAGAAACA